rnacentral:rRNA from 1 species
UACGUAGGGGGCAAGCGUUGUCCGGAUUUAUUGGGCGUAAAGAGCUCGUAGGUGGUUCGGUAAGUCGGAUGUGAAAUCUCCAGGCUCAACCUGGAGGGGUCAUUCGAUACUGCCGUGACUAGAGGUCGGUAGGGGAGUGUGGAAUUCCUGGUGGAGCGGUGAAAUGCGCAGAUAUCAGGAGGAACACCCGUAGCGAAGGCGGCACGCUGGGCCGAUACUGACACUGAGGAGCGAAAGCGUGGGGAGCGAACAGG